rnacentral:rRNA from 1 species
AACCAGACUCCUACGGGAGGCAGCAGUGGGGGAUAUUGCACAAUGGGGGAAACCCUGAUGCAGCGACGCCGCGUGGGCGAAGAAGUAUUUCGGUAUGUAAAGCCCUAUCAGCAGGGAAGAAGAAAUGACGGUACCUGAGUAAGAAGCACCGGCUAAAUACGUGCCAGCAGCCGCGGUAAUACGUAUGGUGCAAGCGUUAUCCGGAUUUACUGGGUGUAAAGGGAGCGCAGGCGGCACGGCAAGCCUGAUGUGAAAGCCCGCGGCCCAACCCCGGGACUGCCCUUGGAACUGCAUGGCUGGAGUGCGGGAGGGGCAGGCGGAAUUCCUGGUGUAGCGGUGAAAUGCGUAGAUAUCAGGAGGAACACCGGCGGCGAAGGCGGCCUGCUGGACCGCGACUGACGUUGAGGCUCGAAAGCGUGGGUAGCGAACGGGAUUAGAUACCCGCGUAGUG